rnacentral:piRNA from 1 species
UGAGCGAUAGAAGGGUAGCGAUUGCCAAGC